UUAUUUGAGAGUUUGAUCCUAGCUCAGGGUGAACGCUGGUAACGUGGAUACCGGCAUGCAAGUCACGGGGGCCGCAAGGCAACCGGCGAACGGCUUAGUAACACGUAGAUACAUACCCCAAAGUGGAGCACAGCUCGUCGAAAGACGGGGUAAUUCUCCAUAAUCCCCGCGGCACAAGCUUUGCGGGGUAAAGGCGCAAGCCGCUUUGGGAAUGGUCUGCGGCCUAUCAGAUAGUUGGCGAGGUAAAGGCUCACCAAGUCUAUGACGGGUAGGGGGCGUGAGAGCGCGACCCCCAAGAAUGGCACUGCGAUCAAAUCGGUCGCCUAGAGAAGUAAUUUUCUAGUAAAAUCCAACUCAUAACGGUGGAACCCAAAA
rnacentral:ncRNA from 1 species